GCCCGAGUGGCGGAACUGGCAGACGCUGGGGACUUAAAAUCCCCUGAUCUUUUGAUCGUGAGGGUUCGAGUCCCUCCUCGGGCA
rnacentral:tRNA from 1 species